UCCUACGGGGGGCAGCAGUGGGGAAUAUUGGACAAUGGGGGGAACCCUGAUCCAGCGACGCCGCGUGAGUGAAGAAGUAUUUCGGUAUGUAAAGCUCUAUCAGCAGGGAAGAAAGAAAUGACGGUACCUGACUAAGAAGCCCCGGCUAACUACGUGCCAGCAGCCGCGGUAAUACGUAGGGGGCAAGCGUUAUCCGGAUUUACUGGGUGUAAAGGGAGCGUAGACGGCAAUGCAAGUCUGGAGUGAAAGGCGGGGGCCCAACCCCCGGACUGCUCUGGAAACUGUAUAGCUG
rnacentral:rRNA from 1 species